rnacentral:rRNA from 1 species
UAUUAGCUAGUUGGUGGGGUAACGGCCCACCAAGGCAAAGAUGCUUAGCGGGUGUGAGAGCACGACCCGCGCCACUGGCACUGAGAACUGGCCAGACUCCUACGGGAGGCUGCAGUCGAGGACCUUCGGCAAUGGGCGCAAGCCUGACCGAGCGACGCCGCGUGGACGACGAAGGCCUUCGGGUUGUAAAGUCCGAAAGUAUCACGGAAAUUUGACUACGAUACAGUAAGCUCGGGCUAAGUUCGUGCCAGCAGCCGCGGUAAGACGAACCGAGCGAACGUUGUUCGGAAUCACUGGGCUUAAAGGGCGCGUAGGCGGGUCGGCACGUCCGGGGUGAAAGGCUCUGGCUCAACCAGAGUAGUGCUUCGGAUACGACCGAUCUGGAGGAAGGCAGGGGUCCGCGGAACACAGCGUGGAGCGGUGAAAUGCGUUGAGAUGCUGUGGAACUCCGGUGGCGAAAGCGGCGGACUGGACCUUUUCUGACGCUGAGGCGCGAAAGCCAGGGGAGCAAACGGGAUUAGAUACCCCGGUAGUCCUGGCCCUAAACGAUGGAUACUAGGUAGCGGACGGGACAUGCGUUCGCUGCCGGAGCCAAAGUGCGAAGUAUCCCGCCUGGGGAGUAUGGUCGCAAGGCUGAAACUCAAAGGAAUUGACGGGGGCUCACACAAGCGGUGGAGCAUGUGGCUUAAUUCGAGGCUACGCGAAGAACCUUAUCCUGGACUUGACAUAUGCGAAAGCGGUUCGAAGUAGUGUGCGGAAACGUGGCACGAACGGUAUCCAAUCCGGAACGAACUACAGGUGCUGCAUGGCUGUCGUCAGCUCGUGUCGUGAGAUGUCGGGUUAAGUCCCAUAACGAGCGAAACCCUUGUCUUCAGUUACCAUCAUUGAGUUGGGGACUCUGAAGAGACCGCCGGUGUUAAACCGGAGGAAGGCGGGGAUGACGUCAAGUCCUCAUGGCCUUUAUGUCCAGGGCUGCACACGUGCUACAAUGGCGUUCACAAUGGGAAGCGAACGCGCGAGCGGGAGCGAAUCCCCAAAAUAACGCCCCAGUUCAGAUUGCAGGCUGCAACCCGCCUGCAUGAAGCCGGAAUCGCUAGUAAUCGCAGGUCAGCUACACUGCGGUGAAUGUGUUCCUGAGCCUUGUACACACCGCCCGUCAAGCCACGAAAGGGAGGGGCGUCCGAAGUC